rnacentral:misc_RNA from 1 species
AGAUCAGAUCUCGAUUUUUUUUUUUCCUUUUCCAAUCUUGGUGGUUAAGAUUCUAACCAUCAGUUGGAAUAUGAAUGUGCUUUGUUAGAACUCGUUCAUCUUGAAAGGCUUAGAGAGGCUUGGGAAUGUUGUGGAUUCAAAUUUUGAUUGAUGGAAAUUCUUCUAAUGUGAUGAGAUGCGCCUCAUCAAGUAAUCAGGCGUUUAACAAUAUCAUUGACUGAGGAUGUUUAUCCUUGUUCAUAACUCAGGUGCUGUUAACUCUGGGUAAUGAAGAGGCAGCCAGAAGAGGGUAAAUACUUUUUAGCAAUAACAAUUUGGAACAUUUUAACCCUGCAAGGGUAUGUGGUCCACCAUUUGUGGAUGUUGGGAAUUUUUUUUUAAUUUAAGGAUUAUUAUCUGCUUUUUCUUCCAUCAUUGGUGUAUUGUUUUGUUUUUCUUGGUGAGUUUGUUUCUUAGUAAAGACAACAUGUGCUUAGAGUAUUGAACUUAAAAAGAGGGAGAGUGGGGAGGAUUUUGAAAUUUAAAUAUCUCAGGACUUGUUGACACUAUGAUUUAGAACUAUUGAAAAAUUUAUGAUGAGCAAUUGUUCUAGUUUGUUUAUCUUGUAGUGGCAGUUCUUUCGGAAAAAAGUCUAUAGGUUUUAUACCAGGUUAAAAAAUAAUCCUACAAUGUUGUUCUCUUAUGCUAUCUUAUCAUAUAGUCUCCUUGUUUGAUGUGUAGAUUAACUCAGAAGCUUUUCAAGUUAUUUUGCUUGUGUGUUCAUUUGGUUUCACUUUUAUCAGGUAUAAAGUAAUUGAAAUACUU